CCAAGAGUACGGCAUCGUUUUGCUCCCAAAAAAACAAUACGCAUAUGUGGUCUACCAUUUCAUAUCUCUCUCUAUAUAAACCCUAGAAUCAAUCAAUCAUCAUCCUCCAUAACCAAAAUCAAAAUGUCAGACAACAUUCCCUUCGAUCUCCAACAGAUAAUCAUAAGCAAGCUCCCGGUGGAACUCGAAGAGCUAAUCCUGAACAAGCUUCCUGUGAAACCGUUGAUUCGAUUCCGAUCGGUCUGCAAAGCCUGGAAGUCACUGAUCGACAGUUCUGAUUUCAUUCUUAAGCAUCGACAACAUCAACAUCAACAUCUGCUGGUAAGGUAUAAAGACGCUGUUAAUCUCGAGCUAAAAUAUGUUUCAAUUGCUGACACUGAUACUGAUACUUUCCCCCAAAAUCCGGUUUCUGUGACUGUACCCCAAUCGGUAGUUAAUUUGGAUGAACCUUAUACAACAAUUGACAGCCCCCACGGAUUAUUGUGUUUGUUCAGUAUAACCGACAGGAAGGCGGUUAUUUGGAAUCCUUCUGUUAGGAAAGCGGUUGAUGUUGUUCUGCCCGAUAUCGCUGAUGAUGAGAUGUGUAGAACUGUUCUAGGGUUUGGGGUUUGUCGGGAGACUAGAGACCCGAAGAUUGUUAAGAUUAAGAUGGAUACAAAAAUACAUAAGGAAGGAGGUGUUUACGUCUUUACGUUAAGCACAAGGAUUUGGAGAAGUGUGUAUCGUAGCAAUGUACCGAGUAAGUUUAUUAUAUUUGGUGAGGAACAGGUGGUUGUAGGUGGAGUUGUUUAUUGGCUUGCUGUUCCUAGGGUUGGUGAUGGAGACUGGUAUGGAAAUUUGAUUGUUUCGUUUGAUCUGACAAGUGAAGAGUUUGGAGAAGUGAAACUUCCAGAUAGACUAGCUCAUACUCAUUGUAAUUUGUCUAUGCUUAAGCCAAGGGAGUCGCUUGUUGCGAUUGAAGGCUGUGUAGAGGACUCUGAACUGGUUUACCAUGUAUGGGUGAUGAAAGACGGUGUUCCAAAGUUGUUUGAAAAGCUCUUCACUAUCAGUGGUCACUCACCAUAUGGAUCAUUGAAUUCUGUAAGGGGCUUUAGGAAGACCGGUGAAGCUUUAGUCGAAUUGCAAGCUCAUCGUUCCAUUAGAACACUUGCUGCUUAUGAACCCUACUCUAAAUCUAUAAAAAAUAUUGGGACUAGUGAAAAGCAUAUUUAUGUGUAUUCCUACACGGAAACACUACUUCUACUUGAUCAACCCGUUAUUACAAAUUAGGAAUAGGUUUCAAACGUGGAUUUGUAUAUGGGGAAAGUGAAUAUGUGGCUGUUUCACAUCUAAGCAGCAAGCUAGGUUCAUUAUUCUCCAAAUCCAUUGCUGGGCAGGCCUCCUCUCCAUUAAAUGGUUAAUUCCAAUCCCUUUCUCCGUCGAGUGGUUAUUCCCACUAUCCCAAUCCGAUCUACAGUUUCUCUUUCAAUACGAUCUUCCCUUCGUCUCGCCACAGGCACGAACUGUAUGAAAAUAUAUUCGUGUUUAAUUUCUUUGUUAGGGCAUUAAUUACCUAAAGUAUGUGUAGAGAGGAGUCAUUGAUUACCGGAUUUAGUUCAAGCUCGAGGUACUUUCUGGCAAGAAACCCACUAAUUUUUAUUCAAAGAUUUUAAUAAAAAAGGUAAAACGAGAUUACAAUUUACGAUGAGCGAGUAUAACAAGUCAGAUGUUCAUCAAAGGGAUAAUCUUUUGUUUAUACAAGUGGUUCAUUUUUAGAUCAACGAAUAUAUCCUUGAACCUGUUUGAUGAAAUGCCCCAAUGAAUAUGUUAGCACUUAGCAUUGAUGAGCUCCUCAAAAGCCUUAUUUUCGAUUUAAUAACUUUGCUUGGGAUAAAAAUCAGCACUUACGAUAAGGUAUAAGAUGCGACAACAAACAACUGACCAAUUUCUUCUUGUCAUCGGUUUUAUCAAGUGAUAGUGUGUAUAGUGGAACAUUGGCUGCUAGCUACUGUUGGUGUAGCUGGUGUUGUCAAAGACUGGGUUAUGCAAUUCCUUUUGUUGAUACAAAGCUC